UACGAAGGGGGCUAGCGUUGCUCGGAAUGACUGGGCGUAAAGGGCGCGUAGGCGGUUCGUACAGUCAGACGUGAAAUUCCCGGGCUCAACCUGGGGGCUGCGUUUGAUACGUGCGGGCUUGAGUUCGGAAGAGGGGCGUGGAAUUCCCAGUGUAGAGGUGAAAUUCGUAGAUAUUGGGAAGAACACCGGUGGCGAAGGCGGCGACCUGGUCCGAUACUGACGCUGAGGCGCGAAAGCGUGGGGAGCGAACCGG
rnacentral:rRNA from 1 species